GUUUCCUUCUUUUAACAAAACACACAGCAGCAACAGUAGAAAAACAAACAAAAAAAAGAAAUGGUGAAGGCAGAAAGGGGAGAACGGGAGAGCUGAGGAAGAGAGGAAGAGAUCUGAGGGAAAAUGGAGAUCGGGAAGAAGGGGGACCGCGUGCAGUCGUCACCGCCGCGCCGCUACUCUGUUGUCGUCGCACCGCACCACCAUCGCAGGAGAGAACCGAGGGGAGAGAGAGAGAUGCGUAUGAGAGAGAGAGAGAGAGAGAGAGGGAGCUGCUGUCAUCUACACCGUCGCGAGGGAGUAGCCGUCAGCUUCGCGCCGAACUCCUCACGAACUGUUAGCGUUCAUGAAGCCGCCAAGAGCUGUCGCGUUGCUUGCACCGCCGCAUCUUGCCCGCGUAUCUAUCGCCAAUCGAUCGAGGGAGAGGACGCGCGAGGAAGUGAUGGACGUGGCAGUAUUGUCGACGUCAGAUCCGUCGCCGCCAUGCCUUUCCCCACCGCCGAUCCAUCUUUGCUGAUGGAGAUCCCGUCGCCGAGCUGCUGUAUAACCGCUGCCGCCAUUGGGUUUGCUGGGAGAGGAGCGCGAACGGGAGUGAGAGAACAGGUAGGUUGCCGUCACGGGUGUCACUGCCGGAGGAGGAAGAAGCCUCGCCGCUGCUCUGUUCCUUAUUUUUCUCUGAGUACAGGUUGAAUUAUGGUGAUUGUAUGUCAUGUUUAGAGUUGCCAAUGCUGCUACAAAGAUGAAAUGGAGCUGCUUUUGCUACAGGCCGAGAGAAAAAGGUGUUUUGCGCAUUUUAUAGCUUUCGGGUUUGACUUUUCAAGUGGUGCAGCCAAAAGCGUGACAUUCUGAUAGUGAGGGUGUUACAAAUCAGGCAUAGAAAAGCAAGCAAUACAAAUAAAUGCAUCUAUUCCCUCAACCCAAGGCCGAAGCAUUUCUCUUAUUGGAUCCUGGAUAUUAUAAUCACGGGGAAUUUAAGUGCAUUCUUCCCUGCAGUCACACAUGAAUAUGCACCAUUGGUUGAAGAAGUUUGGAAAGACCUAGCAAUUCAAAAGAAAGGAUGAGCUUCACUUUCUUCCGGAAGUUGUAGAGUACUUCUUAAACUGGUGUGUGGAGUGUUCAACGCCAGCGUCUUCUUCGGAAGCACAACGGAGAGCAGCAGCGCUAGGGUUCAAGAAACAGCGUCCAUGGCUUCCCAGAGUUCAAGAGCUGCACGAUUUCGUCCACCUGCGAAGGAGUUACUAUGCGUACAUUGCGAGAGGCCAAUUCUGCGAACUUCAUCCACGAAGAAUAACCCAGGACGAAGAUUUUGGGGCUGCGUAUACUAAUAGGUUCAAGAUGGUUGUGAUUUUUUCUGAUGGGCAGAUCCGGAACCUGGAGGUGCUCAGCAUGAGAUUGAAAUUGCAAGAACCAGGAGGAAGAUUACAAACUUAAAAUCACGAUUCAAGGAUGUUGAAUGGAAGCUUAGGAUUGUUGCUGCUUUAUGUAUUGCUGGCUGGGUUGGGUUUUUGUUCUUGUUGUUGCAGAAUCCAUAUAAGUUAAAACAACCAUAUGGAAUGCACCUAAAUUAUAGAUGAUUAGAUAGGGAAUUUUAGGAGAUUUGUUGUAUUAUAGGGUUAAAGUUUGAGGAUAAUUUGUGAUGUUUCAAUGGUUUAAUGAUGUCUCAUGUGUGAACCUGUUUGAAUUAAUGAAUGAAAGCGAUGUUUA